ACAGAGUCGAGGUGCUUGUCUUGCUGUUAGUUAGCUCCUGUCCACACUGAAUGUUCUGCAUUGCUAUGUCAGGCCUGUGAUCGUGGAGAUCCCUCACUUUGCGGCCCUUCGAGGAAAGGAAAGGGAACUGGUGGUCCUGCGCAGUGAGAAUGGGGACAGCUGGAAAGAGCAUUUCUGUGACUACACUGAAGAUGAAUUGAAUGAAAUUCUUAACGGCAUGGAUGAAGUACUGGAUAGCCCAGAAGACCUAGAAAAGAAACGAAUCUGCCGCAUCAUCACCCGAGACUUCCCACAGUACUUUGCAGUGGUGUCUCGUAUCAAACAGGACAGCAAUCUGAUUGGCCCAGAAGGAGGUGUGCUGAGCAGCACAGUGGUGCCCCAGGUGCAGGCCGUCUUCCCAGAGGGGGCACUCACCAAGCGGAUCCGCGUAGGCCUGCAGGCUCAACCUAUGCACAG
rnacentral:sRNA from 1 species